UGUUGACUCUACAAGGUGUUGAAAGCACUACAUGUUGACUCUACAAGGUGUAGAAAGCACUCCAUGUUGACUCCAUGUUGACUCUACAAGGUGUAGAAAGCACUACAUGUUGACUCUACAAGGUGUUGAAAGCACUCCAUGUUGACUCCAUGUUGACUCUACAAGGUGUUGAAAGCACUACAUGUUGACUCUACAAGGUGUAGAAAGCACUACAUGUUGACUCCAUGUUGACUCUACAAG